UGUACGACCCAUGGCUUAGUUGGUUACGGGGUCUGACUGUUAUUCUUUGAAAUCGGAAGAUCGAGAGUUUAAGUCUCUCUGGGACAG